GUGGGCUAUGGAGACAUGAGGCCCAUCACUGUAGGGGGCAAGAUUGUGGGCUCUCUGUGUGCCAUUGCUGGGGUCCUCACCAUUGCCUUGCCUGUUCCUGUCAUAGUCUCCAAC
rfam:Cavia porcellus supercont2_107 genomic scaffold, whole genome shotgun sequence.